GCCGGUUCGGGUCGGCGGCGGCGAGCAGCGCCGCGGCCUGCCGGGCCGCGUCGGCCACAUGUUCGCGCCAGGUGAUCCGGCG
rnacentral:tRNA from 1 species